UACGUAGGGUGCAAGCGUUGUCCGGAAUUAUUGGGCGUAAAGAGCUCGUAGGCGGUUUGUCGCGUCUGCUGUGAAAACCUAAGGCUCAACCUUGGGCUUGCAGUGGGUACGGGCAGACUAGAGUGCGGUAGGGGUGACUGGAAUUCCUGGUGUAGCGGUGAAAUGCGCAGAUAUCAGGAGGAACACCGGUGGCGAAGGCGGUUCUCUGGGCAGUGUCCUGACGGCUGAGGAGCGAAAGUGUGGGGAGCGAACAGG
rnacentral:rRNA from 1 species